UACGUAGGUGGCGAGCGUUAAUCGGAAUAACUGGGCGUAAAGGGCACGCAGGCGGGCUUUUAAGUGAGGUGUGAAAUCCCCGGGCUUAACCUGGGAAUAGCAUUUCAGACUGGGAGUCUAGAGUACUUUAGGGAGGGGUAGAAUUCCACGUGUAGCGGUGAAAUGCGUAGAGAUGUGGAGGAAUACCGAAGGCGAAGGCAGCCCCUUGGGAAUGUACUGACGCUCAUGUGCGAAAGCGUGGGGAGCAAACAGG
rnacentral:rRNA from 1 species